AGAAAUUUAGGUUAACACAAGACCAAAGGCCUUCAAAGCCUUAAGUUGGGGUGAAACCCCCCCAAUUUCUG
rnacentral:tRNA from 1 species